GGGUUGUGAGGUUAAGCGACUAAGCGUACACGGUGGAUGCCCUGGCAGUCAGAGGCGAUGAAGGGCGUGCUAAUCUGCGAUAAGCGCCGGUAAGGUGAUAUGAACCGUUAUAACCGGCGAUACCCGAAUGGGGAAACCCAGUGUGAUUCGUCACACUAUCAUUAACUGAAUCCAUAGGUUAAUGAGGCGAACCGGGGGAACUGAAACAUCUAAGUACCCCGAGGAAAAGAAAUCAACCGAGAUUCCCCCAGUAGCGGCGAGCGAACGGGGAGGAGCCCAGAGCCUGAAUCAGCAUGUGUGUUAGUGGAAGCGUCUGGAAAGGCGCGCGAUACAGGGUGACAGCCCCGUACACAAAAGCGCAUGUGCUGUGAGCUCGAUGAGUAGGGCGGGACACGUGGUAUCCUGUCUGAAUAUGGGGGGACCAUCCUCCAAGGCUAAAUACUCCUGACUGACCGAUAGUGAACCAGUACCGUGAGGGAAAGGCGAAAAGAACCCCGGCGAGGGGAGUGAAAAAGAACCUGAAACCGUGUACGUACAAGCAGUGGGAGCACAGGUUUACCUGUGUGACUGCGUACCUUUUGUAUAAUGGGUCAGCGACUUAUAUUCUGUAGCAAGGUUAACCGUAUAGGGGAGCCGGAGGGAAACCGAGUCUUAACCGGGCGUUAAGUUGCAGGGUAUAGACCCGAAACCCGGUGAUCUAGCCAUGGGCAGGUUGAAGGUUGGGUAACACUAACUGGAGGACCGAACCGACUAAUGUUGAAAAAUUAGCGGAUGACCUGUGGCUGGGGGUGAAAGGCCAAUCAAACCGGGAGAUAGCUGGUUCUCCCCGAAAGCUAUUUAGGUAGCGCCUCGUGAAUUCAUCUCCGGGGGUAGAGCACUGUUUCGGCUAGGGGGCCAUCCCGGCUUACCAACCCGAUGCAAACUGCGAAUACCGGAGAAUGUUAUCACGGGAGACACACGGCGGGUGCUAACGUCCGUCGUGAAGAGGGAAACAACCCAGACCGCCAGCUAAGGUCCCAAAGUCAUGGUUAAGUGGGAAACGAUGUGGGAAGGCCCAGACAGCCAGGAUGUUGGCUUAGAAGCAGCCAUCAUUUAAAGAAAGCGUAAUAGCUCACUGGUCGAGUCGGCCUGCGCGGAAGAUGUAACGGGGCUAAACCAUGCACCGAAGCUGCGGCAGCGACGUUUAUGCGUUGUUGGGUAGGGGAGCGUUCUGUAAGCCUGUGAAGGUGUGUCGUGAGGCAUGCUGGAGGUAUCAGAAGUGCGAAUGCUGACAUAAGUAACGAUAAAGCGGGUGAAAAGCCCGCUCGCCGGAAGACCAAGGGUUCCUGUCCAACGUUAAUCGGGGCAGGGUGAGUCGACCCCUAAGGCGAGGCCGAAAGGCGUAGUCGAUGGGAAACGGGUUAAUAUUCCCGUACUUGGUGUUACUGCGAAGGGGGGACGGAGAAGGCUAUGUUGGCCGGGCGACGGUUGUCCCGGUUUAAGCGUGUAGGCUGGUUUUCCAGGCAAAUCCGGAAAAUCAAGGCUGAGGCGUGACGACGAGGCACUACGGUGCUGAAGCAACAAAUGCCCUGCUUCCAGGAAAAGCCUCUAAGCAUCAGGUAACAUCAAAUCGUACCCCAAACCGACACAGGUGGUCAGGUAGAGAAUACCAAGGCGCUUGAGAGAACUCGGGUGAAGGAACUAGGCAAAAUGGUGCCGUAACUUCGGGAGAAGGCACGCUGACACGUAGGUGAAGUGAUUUACUCAUGGAGCUGAAGUCAGUCGAAGAUACCAGCUGGCUGCAACUGUUUAUUAAAAACACAGCACUGUGCAAACACGAAAGUGGACGUAUACGGUGUGACGCCUGCCCGGUGCCGGAAGGUUAAUUGAUGGGGUCAGCGCAAGCGAAGCUCCUGAUCGAAGCCCCGGUAAACGGCGGCCGUAACUAUAACGGUCCUAAGGUAGCGAAAUUCCUUGUCGGGUAAGUUCCGACCUGCACGAAUGGCGUAAUGAUGGCCAGGCUGUCUCCACCCGAGACUCAGUGAAAUUGAACUCGCUGUGAAGAUGCAGUGUACCCGCGGCAAGACGGAAAGACCCCGUGAACCUUUACUAUAGCUUGACACUGAACAUUGAGCCUUGAUGUGUAGGAUAGGUGGGAGGCUUUGAAGCGUGGACGCCAGUCUGCGUGGAGCCGACCUUGAAAUACCACCCUUUAAUGUUUGAUGUUCUAACGUGGACCCGUAAUCCGGGUUGCGGACAGUGUCUGGUGGGUAGUUUGACUGGGGCGGUCUCCUCCUAAAGAGUAACGGAGGAGCACGAAGGUUGGCUAAUCCUGGUCGGACAUCAGGAGGUUAGUGCAAUGGCAUAAGCCAGCUUGACUGCGAGCGUGACGGCGCGAGCAGGUGCGAAAGCAGGUCAUAGUGAUCCGGUGGUUCUGAAUGGAAGGGCCAUCGCUCAACGGAUAAAAGGUACUCCGGGGAUAACAGGCUGAUACCGCCCAAGAGUUCAUAUCGACGGCGGUGUUUGGCACCUCGAUGUCGGCUCAUCACAUCCUGGGGCUGAAGUAGGUCCCAAGGGUAUGGCUGUUCGCCAUUUAAAGUGGUACGCGAGCUGGGUUUAGAACGUCGUGAGACAGUUCGGUCCCUAUCUGCCGUGGGCGCUGGAGAACUGAGGGGGGCUGCUCCUAGUACGAGAGGACCGGAGUGGACGCAUCACUGGUGUUCGGGUUGUCAUGCCAAUGGCACUGCCCGGUAGCUAAAUGCGGAAGAGAUAAGUGCUGAAAGCAUCUAAGCACGAAACUUGCCCCGAGAUGAGUUCUCCCUGAGACUUAGAGUCUCCUGAAGGAACGUUGAAGACGACGACGUUGAUAGGCCGGGUGUGUAAGCGCAGCGAUGCGUUGAGCUAACCGGUACUAAUGAACCGUGAGGCUUAACCUUACAACGCCGAAG
rnacentral:rRNA from 10 species